GACGAACGCUGGCGGCGUGCUUAACACAUGCAAGUCGAACGGUAAGGCCCUUCGGGGUACACGAGUGGCGAACGGGUGAGUAACACGUGGGUGAUCUGCCCUGCACUUCGGGAUAAGCCUGGGAAACUGGGUCUAAUACCGGAUAGGACCACUGCCUGCAUGGGUGGUGGUGGAAAGCUUUUUCGGUUGGGGAUGGGCUCGCGGCCUAUCAGCUUGUUGGUGAGGUAAUGGCUCACCAAGGCGUCGACGGGUAGCCGGCCUGAGAGGGUGACCGGACACACUGGGACUGAGACACGGCCCAGACUCCUACGGGAGGCAGCAGUGGGGAAUAUUGCACAAUGGGCGGAAGCCUGAUGCAGCAACGCCGCGUGAGGGAUGACGGCCUUCGGGUUGUAAACCUCUUUUAGCAGGGAAGAAGCGAGAGUGACGGUACCUGCAGAAAAAGCACCGGCUAACUACGUGCCAGCCGCCGCAGUAA
rnacentral:rRNA from 1 species